GCCUGGGUGGCUCAGUCGGUUGAGCGUCCGACUUCGGCUCAGGUCAUGAUCUCGCGGUUUGUGGGUUUGAGCCCCGCGUCGGGCU
rnacentral:tRNA from 1 species